rnacentral:rRNA from 1 species
AGGUCAAGCUACAAAGGGCGCAUGGCGAAUGCCUUGGCACUAGGAGCCGAAGAAGGACGCGUUAAGCUGCG